ACCGCGACGUCGCGCUGCUGACGUCACUUGAAAUUCAAAUUACAGUAAUCCCUUGCUACAUUGCGGUUCGUUUAUCGCGGUUUCACGACAUCGCAGAUUUUUGAAUGUUGAAAAUUUAUGAAUAAUUUCACAUAUAAGUCGCUCCUGAGUAUAAGUCGCUCCCCCCCACCCAAACUA